GUAGUGAGACUGUCCUGGCUCACGAUGAACGCUAGCGGGAGGCCUAACACAUGCAAGUCGAACGGGAUUGGUAGCACUACCAUGAGAGUGGCGCACGGGUGAGUAACGCGUAUGCAACCUGCCUUUAACUGAGGGAUAGCCCAUAGAAAUGUGGAUUAAUACCUCAUAGUUCUGAGAAGCUGCAUGGUUUUUCAGAUAAAGCUCCGGCGGUUAAAGAUGGGCAUGCGUGACAUUAGCUAGUUGGUAAGGUAACGGCUUACCAAGGCUACGAUGUCUAGGGGUUCUGAGAGGAUGAUCCCCCACACUGGUACUGAGACACGGACCAGACUCCUACGGGAGGCAGCAGUGAGGAAUAUUGGUCAAUGGGCGCAAGCCUGAACCAGCCAUCCCGCGUGCAGGAUGACGGCCCUAUGGGUUGUAAACUGCUUUUGUACAGGAAGAAAAAUCCCUACGUGUAGGGACCUGCCGGUACUGUACGAAUAAGCAUCGGCUAACUCCGUGCCAGCCGCCGCGGUAAUAC
rnacentral:rRNA from 1 species